UCCCUGGUAGCUCAGCUGGUAUAGGAUCUGCCUAUAAUGCAGGAGACUCCAGUUCAAUUUCUGGGUCAGGAAG
rnacentral:tRNA from 1 species